UACGAAGGGGGCGAGCGUUGUUCGGAAUUACUGGGCGUAAAGGGCGCGUAGGCGGAUGUUUAAGUCGGGGGUGAAAGCCCAGGGCUCAACCCUGGAAUUGCCUUCGAUACUGGACAUCUUGAGUGCGGGAGAGGUGAGUGGAACUCCGAGUGUAGAGGUGAAAUUCGUAGAUAUUCGGAAGAACACCAGUGGCGAAGGCGACUCACUGGCCCGUUACUGACGCUGAUGCGCGAAAGCGUGGGGAGCAAACAGG
rnacentral:rRNA from 1 species